CUAUGUUUCACUUUGAAGUAGGAUUUACUACAAGAAUUGUUAACCGGAUUAACUUUUGCCUUGUUUGUAACAUUUCAGAUUAUGAAUUAUUUCCAAUUCUAUAUGUAUUUAUUUCUAUACCAUUGUGUUUUGAACAAGAACUUGUUUAGCUGUCAUAAAUUUCAGGUUGGAAAAGAUGCUAGAAAUUCCACCCUUAAGAUGGAUAAGUGGGAUGACCGAGGUUUGAG
rnacentral:lncRNA from 1 species